GGCAAUUUCCGAACCCGAGGAAGAUGCCCCCGCUUCUUCUGCGACUUCUCUCUCCACAACCGGUGGCUGCUCAGGCACCUCUUCAACGUGAGCCUGAGGUUCCAAUCCAACACUUAUAAAAGUAAUUUAAAAAAACCAAAAAAAUUUGCCAAGACCUAUGCUAUAAAACAAGAUUUCGGCAUGACUAUUGUUGUAAAACAACAAAUGAGUCUACCCGAAUUUUAUACCUGCAUAAAAAAAACUCCCACCCACAUAUACACCCUCGGCACGAUGGCCGGACCCUUCUCAACGACCCUACACGAUGGCCGGGCCCACAUUGCUCAUAUCAACCGACACGAUGGUCGGGAUCACAUGCAUGUAUCAUUUAACCAUAAACAGCAAUAACAUCAAUACUUAACCAUAAACAACAAUAUAAACCCUAAAUAGUUAGAACUAAACAUAAACAACAAUACUUAAAUCCUAACUAAACAUACACAGCAAGAUUCAACCUAAUUAAAAAAACAGCAAGAUUCAACCCUAAUAAACUAUAGAACUAAACAUAAACAACAAUAUUUAAACCCUAACUAAACAUAAACAACAAGAUUUAACCCUAAUUAAAAAACAGCAAGAUUCAACCCUAAUUAACUAUAGAACUAAUCAUAAACAACAAUAUUUAAACCAUAACUGAACAUAAACAACAAUAUUUAAACCCUAAUUAAACAUAAACAACAAGAUUCAACCCUAAUUGGACCCUAAAAACAAGAUUCAACCCUAAUUUAACCCUAAUUUGACUCACCGGGGUAGGUACUUCGUCAACCGGCGGAGGAGUCAAGGCGGCGGGCAUGGUGGCGGGGUCGGCGGCCGCGGGGGUCGCGGAAGAGCUCCGGCUGCAUCCCCUCCUCACGGCGCC
rnacentral:lncRNA from 1 species